GGUAAGAUCUUGCUCUCUGAUUUACAUUCCAUGAUAUCAAUCUUAGUUGAGUUGAUGGGAGUGGCCCCUGGAGAGACAAAGAUGCGUGAGACAAGGUUGAGAUGGUUCGGGCAUGUCAUGAGGAGAAGCACAUAUGCUCCUCUCAGGAGAUGUGAGAGGUUGGCCUUGGGAGGUGAGAGGAAGGGUAGAGGUAGGUCAAAGAAGUCUUGGGGAGAGGUGAUCAGACGGGACAUGGCGCAACUUGAGCUAGCCGAAGACAUGACCCUAGAUAGACGUGUGUGGAGGUUGAAGAUUAGGGUAGAAGGUUAGUAGCUAGUCGAGCGUUUCCCUUUGUCUUCUCUAGCUUGUUAGUGUUAGCGCUAGUAGGUACCAUUUUUUCCUUAGUUUGCGAUAUUCGCAUGUCUCGUUCCGUUGUUACUUGUCAUCGGUAAUUUCGUAAUUUGCUAGCAGUAUUUCGUUCAUAUUCUCAUUUGCUACCUUGGAAUUAGUUUUCUAAUUAUGUUAUCUUGCUAUUACUUGUUAUCUGGUACCUUUCAUUAGUUCAUAUUCUCAGUUGCUAUCUUUGAUUUAGUUUUCUAAUUAUUUGUCUUGCUAUUACUGCUAUCAGGGCUUCUCUCACCUUCUUUAGCCGAGGGUCUAUCGGAAACAGUCUCUCUGCCCUUUCAGGGUAGGGGUAAGGCCGCGUCCGACUUGUGGAAUUUUACCGGGGGUUGUUGUUGUUGAUAUCAAUCUUACUUCUCUUUGAUCUCCAAGAAAUUUUCUUUCCAGGAAGCUGGUAGAGCUGAAGCUGAUUUUGGUCGUCUUGACGCUAAAACAGUUGUGAGGAACAUCUACAUUCUUUUUUCUAGAAGUGAAAUACCAAUAGCCAAUGAAAAUCAGGAAAUCAUGGACAUCGUGCAACCUUCGACACCUCUACCCCCUUGGUUCUCUGAAAAAGACCUGGAAACAUAUGGAGCAUGGACAUCGUGCAACCUUCGACCCCUCUACCCCCUUGGUUUUCUGAGGAAGACCUGGAAACAUAUGGAGCUUUGUAUGAGAAAUCUGGUUUCCAGAGUGCAUUGCAGGUUCCCUAUAGGUACAACGACAAUCUAUGUCAAUUUGAGCUGUAAAGUUCCUUUUUUGACAGUUUUUUCUCUAUUAACACAGCUGUUAUAUACAGCAGACCAACAAAGGUUUUGAUUUUGAUGUCAUUUACUGCUGUGGUGAGGAAGAGGCAAACUUAAGAAAGUAAAUAAGUAUCUAUAUUAGGCUGAAGUGCUAAGUUCGAUCACUGACAAGAGGGGUUGCUCUGAUGGUAAGCAACCCCCACUUCCAACCGAGAGGUUGUGAGU
rnacentral:lncRNA from 1 species